rnacentral:rRNA from 1 species
UGAGGAAUAUUGGUCAAUGGGCGAGAGCCUGAACCAGCCAAGUAGCGUGCAGGAUGACGGCCCUAUGGGUUGUAAACUGCUUUUACGCGGGGAUAAAGUGCGUGACGUGUCGCGCAUCGCAGGUACCGCGUGAAUAAGGACCGGCUAAUUCCGUGCCAGCAGCCGCGGUAAUACGGAAGGUCCGGGCGUUAUCCGGAUUUAUUGGGUUUAAAGGGAGCGCAGGCCGCCCGAUUAGCGUGUUGUGCAAUGUACCGGCUCAACCGGUGAGUUGCAGCGCGAACUGUCAGGGUUGAGUGCACGGUAAGCAGGCGGAAUUCAUGGUGUAGCGGUGAAAUGCUUAGAUAUCAUGAGGAACUCCGAUUGCGAAGGCAGCUUGCUGCAGUGCGACUGACGCUUAGGCUCGAAGGUGCGAGUAUCAAACAGG